CAUUCUUUUCUCCUCUUCCUCCAUACUUUAUAGUUCAUAACUCUUGACAUGUAUGUAUACAUAUGCACACACAGUUUACUUAAUUGUUUAAUGACAUAUCUUAUGUGUACAAUAAUUUUCCCUCUCUUCCUCUCCCUCCCUCUCUCCAGAUUUAGAGGGUACUAUUAAAUCCUUCAUUACAUGUACAUGUAUGUCUCCCUCAGUCUAAAGGCUCAGUCAUCACAAGGUUCAAUGCUUCAAUGAAUCUCUUAUUAUCAUUACACACUCUCCACUAAUCCUCCUUUAUCAUUGCAACACUCUCCACUAAUCCUCCUUUAUCAUUGCAAGCUUUGACUGGUAGGAAAGUAAAAUCUUUCUCUGUUGACGACUGUCACAUUGUCUCAAGAUUUAAUUCUCAUAGUGGUGGGUUGGAUUACAAUGCUGGAUCAAUAGAAGCAGUAUGAAUAGUUCAGUCCUGAUUGAGACAUAUUCCUUGGGUGGGUUUUGUCUAUAUGGAGGGCCUGGUGACUACAACAUUAAAGUCAAAGUAAGUUACAUGCAUAUUUACAUGUACUUUGAUUUAAAAUGGUCUUAGUUAUCAUGUGUGCUCAAACAUGAUGGGUUCUCUAAAAGGGGAAUUCCUAUUAUGGUGUUGCAUGUAUUAUUAACAUUAUUACCAAGCGCUAGCGCUUGGUAUGUAGGGUUGAGUUUGACUAGCGCACCCACAAAAUGGCUGCCAUCCCAGAAGCAUUGAGCCAGUGAAAAUCUUCAGGAAUUCUUUAUGGCUUAUCUGACAGUCAGGAUGUCCUUUAUAAUUUUAUUAGAACAGGUUAGUGUUAUAAAAAGUAGUUAAAAACUUCCAUAAGAUAGUUAUACGGCAAAUGAAUGCAUGCAUGCCUGCAUGCACCAAAUGUUCAGCUUUCUCCUUCUUCUUCCACAGUUAAGGAAGAACUAGUCCUACAGUUUUUAUCCUAGAAAUAUAAUUUUUGCACCAUUGUAUUGCACUUCAGGGACGCUAGUGCAGUGUGGCUUGGCAUUGUAAUUCUACAAAAGUAAUUUUGUCGUCAUUUUCAAGCACUCAUUGACUCAUCAAGUGGUUGGACGCCAUUUUGAUGCAUCCAACUGCGCAUGCUCAGUAUUCAGUAUUCAAUGCCCGCCUAUGGGAACUCCUUUUCGGAGUCCUUUGUUCUGCGCUUACUGACUGAUCUUGAGAUGAUGUGCUUGCCUAAACACCCUAUCUACUUACACCAAGAUUCUCUGGAAAGUUUGUAUUCAAUUUGCCUUCAUUGUCUUCAUUACUACUGACAAUCUCUUCAAAUAAGUCUCGCCAUGCCCCUUCGCUACCUGCAGAGCUGGAGGAAGGGUCUGCAUGGAGACCGUGCACUGCCAUCUAAAAUGUGUGCAAAGAAGAAAGAAGAACACAUUGUUGAGCUACAUCAUGUGACAGAGGAGACCAGAUCGGUCAAAAUAGCUGAAACUGAUGCUUUGCAGCUAAGAAAAGUUGAGGAUAUAGUCCCUUGAACAUCUCUUGCAGAUCCUUCCUCCGCAGCUUCUUGUAUGAACCUCUACCUCCAACCUCCUUCUGAAAAUUGUUGCUAGUUGGCCGGUCGUGAUAACAAACCACAACUGGAAUGGGUGGAGAGUUUCAAGAUACAGUGGUGAGUUCUGAAAACUGGUGAAAGCAGCUUCAAUAAGACCAAGGGCUAGUAAGAAGUAAUAAAAACUCAAUAACACUGCAUCAGAAGGCUUGGCUUUAAUAUCAAUUACAUCUGGUAUACAUGUACAUGCAUGAUAGUUACUGGUCACAGUAACAAAUUGUGAAUAUUAGUAGCCAUGAAUAUGUCACAAUUCUACGGUAUUGCAGUUGUUUAUACUAGUUAUAAUGAGUAAAGUAAUAAACAAAUGUGCCC